rnacentral:rRNA from 1 species
CAGUCGCCGCGGUAAUACAGAGGGUGCGAGCGUUAAUCGGAUUUACUGGGCGUAAAGCGUGCGUAGGCGGCUAAUUGAGUCGGAUGUGAAAUCCCCGAGCUUAACUUGGGAAUUGCAUUCGAUACUGGUUAGCUAGAGUGUGGGAGAGGAUGGUAGAAUUCCAGGUGUAGCGGUGAAAUGCGUAGAGAUCUGGAGGAAUACCGAUGGCGAAGGCAGCCAUCUGGCCUAACACUGACGCUGAGGUACGAAAGCAUGGGGAGCAAACAGGAUUAGAGACCCGAGUAGUCCCUGUCUCUUAUAA